rnacentral:misc_RNA from 1 species
GAUGAAGAACGUAGCGAAAUGCGAUACGUAAUGUGAAUUGCAGAAUUCAGUGAAUCAUCGAGUCUUUGAACGCACAUUGCGCCCCCUGGUAUUCCGGGGGGCAUGCCUGUCCGAGCGUCAUUGCUGCCCUCAAGCCCGGCUUGUGUGUUGGGUCUCGUCCCCCUUCCCGGGGGGACGGGCCCGAAAGGCAGCGGCGGCACCGCGUCCGGUCCUCGAGCGUAUGGGGCUUUGUCACCCGCUCUGUAGGCCCGGCCGGCGCUUGCCGAUCAACCAAAACUUUUUUCCAGGUUGACCUCGGAUCAGGUAGGAAUACCCGCUGAACUUAAGCAUAUCAAUAAGCGGAGGA